GAGUUUGAUCAUGGCUCAGGAUGAACGCUGGCGGCGUGCCUAAUACAUGCAAGUCGAGCGAACGGACGAGAAGCUUGCUUCUCUGAUGUUAGCGGCGGACGGGCGAGUAACACGUGGAUAACCUACCUAUAAGACUGGGAUAACUUCGGGAAACCGGAGCUAAUACCGGAUAAUAUUUUGAACCGCAUGGUUCAAAAGUGAAAGACGGUCUUGCUGUCACUUAUAGAUGGAUCCGCGCUGCAUUAGCUAGUUGGUAAGGUAACGGCUUACCAAGGCAACGAUGCAUAGCCGACCUGAGAGGGUGAUCGGCCACACUGGAACUGAGACACGGUCCAGACUCCUACGGGAGGCAGCAGUAGGGAAUCUUCCGCAAUGGGCGAAAGCCUGACGGAGCAACGCCGCGUGAGUGAUGAAGGUCUUCGGAUCGUAAAACCCUGUUAUUAGGGAAGAACAUAUGUGUAAGUAACUGUGCACAUCUUGACGGUACCUAAUCAGAAAGCCACGGCUAACUACGU
rnacentral:rRNA from 1 species